rnacentral:rRNA from 1 species
GACGAACGCUGGCGGCGUGCUUAAUACAUGCAAGUCGAACGGAAAGGCCCUGCUUUUGUGGGGUGCUCGAGUGGCGAACGGGUGAGUAACACGUGAGUAACCUGCCCUUGACUUUGGGAUAACUUCAGGAAACUGGGGCUAAUACCGGAUAGGAGCUCCUGCUGCAUGGUGGGGGUUGGAAAGUUUCGGCGGUUGGGGAUGGACUCGCGGCUUAUCAGCUUGUUGGUGGGGUAGUGGCUUACCAAGGCUUUGACGGGUAGCCGGCCUGAGAGGGUGACCGGCCAGAUUGGGACUGAGAUACGGCCCAGACUCCUACGGGAGGCAGCAGUGGGGAAUAUUGCACAAUGGGCGGAAGCCUGAUGCAGCAACGCCGCGUGCGGGAUGACGGCCUUCGGGUUGUAAACCGCUUUCGCCUGUGACGAAGCGUGAGUGACGGUAAUGGGUAAAGAAGCACCGGCUAACUACGUG